rnacentral:rRNA from 1 species
CGGGCUGAGUAACACGUAGGAACGUACCCCAAAGUGAGGCAUAAGCACCAGAAAUGGUGUCUAAUACCGCAUAUGGCCUUAGGGUUAAAGCUUCGGCGCUUUGGGAACGGCCUGCGCAUGAUUAGCUUGUUGGUGAGGUAAUAGCUCACCAAGGCGACGAUCAUUAGCUGGUCUGAGAGGAUAAUCAGCCAGACUGGGACUGAGAACGGCCCAG